rnacentral:rRNA from 1 species
GACGAACGCUGGCGGCGUGCCUAACACAUGCAAGUCGAACGGAGUUUAGCAAAUGAGACCUUCGGGUGGAUUUUGCGAAGACUUAGUGGCGGACGGGUGAGUAACGCGUGAGUAACCUGCCGAGAAGAGGGGGACAACAGUUGGAAACGACUGCUAAUACCGCAUAACAUAUAUAUGCCGCAUGACAUAUAUAUCAAAGAUUUAUCGCUUAUGGAUGGACUCGCGUCAGAUUAGAUAGUUGGUGAGGUAACGGCUCACCAAGUCGACGAUCUGUAGCCGAACUGAGAGGUUGAUCGGCCACAUUGGGACUGAGACACGGCCCAGACUCCUACGGGAGGCAGCAGUGGGGAAUAUUGCGCAAUGGGGGAAACCCUGACGCAGCAACGCCGCGUGAAGGAAGAA